UGGGGAAUAUUGCACAAUGGGCGCAAGCCUGAUGCAGCCAUGCCGCGUGUGUGAAGAAGGCCUUCGGGUUGUAAAGCACUUUCAGCGAGGAGGAAGGUGGUGAACUUAAUACGUUCAUCAAUUGACGUUACUCGCAGAAGAAGCACCGACUAACUCCGUGCCAGUAGCCGCGGUAAUACGGAGGAUGCAAGCGUUAAUCGGAAUUACUGGGCGUAAAGCGCACGCAGGCGGUUUGUUAAGUCAGAUGUGAAAUCCCCGGGCUCAACCUGGGAACUGCAUUUGAAACUGGCAAGCUAGAGUCUCGUAGAGGGGGGCUAGAAUUCCAGGUGUAGCGGUGAAAUGCGUAGAGAUCUGGAGGAAUACCGGUGGCGAAGGCGGCCCCCUGGACGAAGACUGACGCUCAGGUGCGAAAGCGUGGGGAGCAAACAGGAUUAGAUACCCUGGUAGUCCACGCUGUAAACGAUGUCGAUUUUGGAGGUUGUGCCCUUGAGGCGUGGCUUCCGGAGCUAACGCGUUAAAGUCGACCGCCUGGGGAG
rnacentral:rRNA from 1 species